GACGAACGCUGGCGGCGUGCCUAACACAUGCAAGUCGAGCGUAGUGAGUACUACGGUACGAACUUAGCGGCGGACGGGUGAGUAACGCGUGGACAAUCUACCCUGUAGACUGGGAUAACACCUCGAAAGGGGUGCUAAUACCGGAUAAUGUCGAGAAGCGGCAUCGCUUUUCGAAGAAAGGAGAGAAUCCGCUAUAGGAGGAGUCCGCGUCCCAUUAGCUAGUUGGUGAGGGUAACGGUCCACCAAGGCGACGAUGGGUAGCCGGCCUGAGAGGGUGAACGGCCACACUGGAACUGAGACACGGUCCAGACUCCUACGGGAGGCAGCAGUGGGGAAUAUUGUGCAAUGGGGGAAACCCUGACACAGCAACGCCGCGUGAGCGAAGAAGGCCUUCGGGUUGUAAAGCUCAAUAGUAUGGGAAGAUAAUGACGGUACCAUACGAAAGCCCCGGCUAACUACGUGCCAGCCGCCGCCGUAAUAC
rnacentral:rRNA from 1 species